GCUGUGUAUUGCCGUGUGUCCUGUCAGAUAAACCCCCGCCUUCACGCACUUCGUCGCGGGAGGACAAGGAGACUGCUGGUCCUAGCCUAGUUCAGUACAGUAUAUGUUUUGAUACCUGUGGAGAGAAAAGGAGAGAGAGUGAAUAACACGAGGAGGAAUAGAGCGAACCCUGUACUUACAGUACGCUGUGUCCAGCCCAGAGGUGAGAGCCAUUCAAAGCAAACUAACUGUGCUAUUGUGCCCAAGUUGAUACCUGUGGAGAGAAAAGGAGAGAGAGUGGGUAACACGAGGAGAGACCGAGGAAACCUGUACUUACGCCGCUGCCUGUGGAGAAAGAGAAAGCGAGUGAGCACCCAAGGAACGAACUGUGUGAACCAGUACUUACUGUGAGCUGUAAUCAGCGAAGAGGUGAGAGCAAAACCAAGCUGAACUAACUGUGCCUGUGUGUCCCAGCCGUUGCCUGUGGAGGAAGAGAAAGAGAGUGAGCACCCCGAGAACGAACUGUGUGAACCAGUACUUACCGUGAGCUGUAUUCAGCGAAGAGGAGGAAGAAGGAGGGCGCUACGGAUACCUAAGACUCAGGCCGGGGCCCGAGUCCCACGCCCCGGAUCCCCGUGGCCCCCUUGCUCCCUGACCUCUUCCCGGCCAUAGCCCAUCUGGAGGGCCGAGUCAGAGUUUAGUUUUAAUUGCCCUUUUCCUAUUCCCCAAGCUAUUUUUAAAUAUUUAAAUAAAGAUUGUUUUAUCACUUACUUGUUCUCG
ensembl:lncRNA